CGCACCUUGCGCUCCCUGGUAUUCCAAGGAGCAUGCCUGUUUGAGUGUCGCGAAAUAUAUACUCAGAGGGGGUUUCUCUCUCUGGAAUUGGGUGUUAUUGCUCUCUUGAGCUCACCUUAAAUAUAUAGUUAGACCAUUGGACAGUAAGACAUUGCACCAAUGUGUUCUUUAAUCUUUCUUUGACCUCAAAUCAGGUAGGACUACCCGCUGAACUUAA
rnacentral:misc_RNA from 1 species